ACAGUGGACGCGAGCAUCUGUGGCCAAGUUUUUAAGGGCGCACGGUGGAUGCCUUGGCACCAGGAACCGAUGAAGGACGUGGGAGGCCGCGAUAGUCCCCGGGGAGUCGUCAACCAGGCUUUGAUCCGGGGGUUUCCGAAUGGGGAAACCCGGCAGUCGUCAUGGGCUGUCACCCACUGCUGAACACAUAGGCAGUGUGGAGGGAACGAGGGGAAGUGAAACAUCUCAGUACCCUCAGGAAGAGAAAACAACCGUGAUUCCGGGAGUAGUGGCGAGCGAAACUGGAUGAGGCCAAACCGUAUGCGUGUGAGACCCGGCAGGGGUUGCGUAUACGGGGUUGUGGGAUCUCUCUUUCACAGUCUGCCGGCUGUGAGACGAGUCAGAAACCGUUGAUGUAGACGAAGGACAUGCGAAAGGUCCGGCGUAGAGGGUAAGACCCCCGUAGUCGAAACGUCAGCGGCUCGUUUGAGAGACACCCAAGUAGCACGGGGCCCGAGAAAUCCCGUGUGAAUCUGGCGGGACCACCCGCUAAGCCUAAAUAUUCCCUGGUGACCGAUAGCGGAUAGUACCGUGAGGGAAUGGUGAAAAGUACCCCGGGAGGGGAGUGAAAUAGUACCUGAAACCGUGUGCCUACAAGCCGUGGGAGCGUCGGA
rnacentral:rRNA from 1 species